rnacentral:lncRNA from 1 species
CCUGGCAUGUCACAAUUCCAAUUGCCUCCAAAAAAGAAAUGAAACUGGGGAAGGAAAUGGCAAACCACUCCAGUAUCUUUGCUCAGAAAACCCCAAAUGUCAUGGAGAGUUGGACAUAACUGAAAUGACUGCACAGCAAGAAGGAAACAGAGAUUAAGUGGGUGUUUAUUUGGGCUGGAUUCAUGCCUACAAAAACAUGAUGCUGAGAUGGGGUCAGAGACUUCACUAGACUCACUGUGCAAGGGGGCCAGGACACAGAAAAGCUUCUGCUCUAAUUGCCCAAUCAGCCAAGGCCAAAAAGGUCUAAAACUCCAACUUAAGUCAGAUCAGGGAUCCCAGAAACCUAGUUUGAAGAUUUAAAGCGGCAGUUCAGGUGCCCCUGGAGAUGACAGUUGCUUGGUUGUGGGAUAGCUCAGCUGUGGCAAUGUGAGUGCAUGCUGAUAUUCCCAACUGAUUCCUCUCUGGCUUUUGCAGUGGGGAUGUGCUCCAUCCCAGUGAUGAUGGCAUCCAUGGGAGUUUGGGGGUUCUGUUUCCAUGGCAACAAUCCAUAGGAGGUUUUCCCUGCUGAUCCAGAAAGACAGCUUUCUGCAGGGCUGUUCUUUGCCUCGGGUUCCCGUGUGGGUAUGUUACUUCCUCCUUGAAUCAUCUUUGUUUCACUAAUAAUGAUAAUUGGCAAUAAAAGCAGAAUGAUAAUCUCCUC